GCGAGGUUAAGCAGGAGAUGCGGAGCCGCAGCGAAAGCGAGUCUUAACAGGGCGAGAUAGUCUGAGGUCGUGGACCCGAAACCGGGUGAUCUAGCCAUGAGCAGGUUGAAGUCGGGGUGAGACCCGAUGGAGGACCGAACCGACCCCCGUUGAAACGUUGGCGGAUGACUUGUGGCUAGGGGUGAAAUUCCAAUCGAACCCGGAGAUAGCUGGUUCUCCCCGAAAUAGCUUUAGGGCUAGCGUCGCAGCGAGAGAGCCGUGAAGGUAGAGCACUGAAUAUGCGAUGGCCGCAUCCCGCGGUACUGAGCAUAAUCAAACUCCGAAUGUCACGGUGUCAUCUGCGGCAGUCAGACGGCGAGUGAUAAGGUCCGUCGUCAAGAGGGAAACAGCCCAGACCAUCAGCUAAGGUCCCAAAGUGCAUGCUAAGUGGAAAAGGAAGUGGAGACGUGCAGACAACUAGGAGGUUGGCUCAGAAGCAGCCAUCCUUCAAAGAGUGCGUAACAGCUCACUAGUCGAAUGACUCUGCGCCGAUAAUUUACCGGGGCUAAGCAUGACACCGAAGCUAUGGACAGGAAUGUGGUAGGGGAGCAUUGCAUGCAGCGGAGAAGCAUGACCGGGAGGGCAUGUGGAGCGCAUGGAAGAGAGAAUGCCGGCGUGAGUAGCGGCACGUGGGUGAGAAUCCCACGCACCGAUGGCCCAAGGUCUCCAGAGGAAGGCUCGUCCUCUCUGGGAUAGUCGGGACCUAAGGCGAGGCCGAAAGGCGUAGCCGAUGGACGACGGGUGGAUAUUCCCGUACCCGAUGUGUGGCGAUGGAGUGACGGAGAAGGCUCAGGCAACCAGCUGCUGGAAUAGCUGGGGCAAGCGAGAUACCUGCGCACCAGGGAAAUCCGGUGCGCAUAAGGGGAAGGCGCGAAGCAUACGGAAAGCUGCGGCAAGUACGGAAGAGCUGAGAGCAGGCUUCCAGGAAAAGCUUCUAGCACAACACGCAUCGGCCCGUACCGAAAAUGGACACACAUGGGCAAGGAGAGAAUCCUGAGGUGAGCGAGAGAACUAUAGCUAAGGAACUCUGCAAAAUGACCCCGUAACCUAGGGAGAAGGGGUGCUCCAGAAAUGGAGCCGCAGUAAAACGGCCCAAGCGACUGUUUACCAAAAACACAGCUCUCUGCGAAGGCGCAAGCCGAAGUAUAGGGGGUGACGCCUGCCCGGUGCUGGAAGGUCAAGGGGAGCUGUCAGCGCAAGCGAAGCAGCGAGCCGAAGCCCCAGUAAACGGCGGCCGUAACUAUAACGGUCCUAAGGUAGCGAAAUUCCUUGUCGGGCAAGUUCCGACCCGCACGAAAGGCGUAACGAUUUGGGCGCUGUCUCAGCUGUAGACUCGGUGAAGUCUUAGUACCUGUGAAGAUGCAGGUUGCCCGCGACUAGACGGAAAGACCCCAUGGAGCUUCACUGCAGGUUGACAUUGGGCUUGGAUGCAUGAUGUACAGGAUAGGUGGGAGGCUGAGAGCCGUGCGCGCCAGCGUACGGGGAGCCGCUGUUGGGAUACCACCCUUCAUGCAUCUAGGUCCUAACCGGAGGCAACGGGCCACGGGACAGUGUCAGUCGGGCAGUUUGACUGGGGCGGUCGCCUCCCAAAGAGUAACGGAGGCGCCCAAAGAUACCCUCAGCAUGGAUGGAAACCAUGCAUAGAGUGCAAAGGCAUAAGGGUGUCUGACUGCGAGACAUACAGGUCGAGCAGGGACGAAAGUCGGGCUUAGUGAUCCGGCGGAUCCGAAUGGAAGGGCCGUCGCUCAACGGAUAAAAGCUACCCUGGGGAUAACAGG
rnacentral:rRNA from 1 species